rnacentral:rRNA from 1 species
UUUGUAUAAUGGGUCAGCGACUUAUAUUCAGUGGCAAGGUUAACCAUCUAGGGGAGCCGUAGGGAAACCGAGUCUUAACUGGGCGUUCAGUCUCUGGAUAUAGACCCGAAACCAGGUGAUCUAGCCAUGGGCAGGUUGAAGGUUGAGUAACAUCAACUGGAGGACCGAACCGACUAAUGUUGAAAAAUUAGCGGAUGACUUGUGGCUAGGGGUGAAAGGCCAAUCAAACCUGGAGAUAGCUGGUUCUCCCCGAAAGCUAUUUAGGUAGCGCCUCGGACGAAUACUACUGGGGGUAGAGCACUGUUAAGGCUAGGGGGUCAUCCCGACUUACCAACCCUUUGCAAACUCCGAAUACCAGUAAGUACUAUCCGGGAGACACACGGCGGGUGCUAACGUCCGUCGUGGAGAGGGAAACAACCCAGACCGCCAGCUAAGGUCCCAAAUUACUACUAAGUGGGAAACGAUGUGGGAAGGCUCAGACAGCCAGGAUGUUGGCUUAGAAGCAGCCAUCAUUUAAAGAAAGCGUAAUAGCUCACUGGUCGAGUCGGCCUGCGCGGAAGAUGUAACGGGGCUAAGUAGUAAACCGAAGCUGCGGCAAUACUCUUUGAGUAUUGGGUAGGGGAGCGUUCUGUAAGCGGUUGAAGGUGUGUGGUAACGCAUGCUGGACGUAUCAGAAGUGCGAAUGCUGACAUGAGUAACGAUAAAGGGGGUGAAAAACCUCCUCGCCGGAAGACCAAGGGUUCCUGUCCAACGUUAAUCGGGGCAGGGUAAGUCGACCCCUAAGGCGAGGCCGAAAGGCGUAGUCGAUGGGAAACGGGUUAAUAUUCCCGUACUUCUUACAAUUGCGAUGGGGGGACGGAGAAGGCUAGGUGGGCCUGGCGACGGUUGUC